GGUCUUAAAAUGGUUACUAGCCCAAAGGUACCAGAGUAAAUAGACCAUUUAGUAAAAGCGAAUGGAGAGAACGAUUACUUAAUUCUCCAUUCCAAACAAACCGAUUAAAAUUCUCUCAACAUUCUUUCCAUUUUUCUUUCCUUCAGUCUUCAAUUCUUGAUUUCAAUCAAACAAUUUCAGCAAGCUAAAGAAUUUGGUGAAAGUUUGAUGGUGAAAGGGAAGGAGAAAGUGUUGGAAGAGUAGCUGGUUUCGGUUUAUGCAUUCUAAUUUUAAUUUACUUUAUGUUUUUGUCUAAAUUGCUAGGGAUUAUUUUUAUGGUAUUAGUUUUAAAUGUCUAAUUGGUGAGCAAUAUGCUACAUAUGAAUUUCAAGUUGAAUCUAAGACAAUUAUGUGAAUGUUGAUUCUUGAGAUGCUUUAUUGAGAUACGAUUUGAGAA